ACGUGAAGAGUUUGUUGUCAUAUGGUCGUAUAUUUUGUAAGAAGUGAAGAGUUUCUUGUCAUAGUCACCAAGGUUGUCGUCAUAAGUCGAAAUGAAUUAUCAAUGAUCCUCGGACUAAAGAGAAUGUGAAAUAAAAGUCCAAAAGAUAAUUCAGUUGUAGAGCUUAGUAAAACAGUUGCUGGACACAUUUACUGGCCCAUAUAGAUGGAGUGAUCAAGUCACAUAUACCAGCUGUUAAUGCUUUUUAGAAGAACAAUAUCAAACUUCUAGUCACGCUUGCAGUGUGGUAGACAUGUUGGUUCAUAAGAUAAGAAUCCUCGUAUAUGAAAAUGAGCGUAUAUUGAUAAUGGUCAAAAGAGGCAAUAUAGUUUUGAAUGAUCUCCAGAAAAGACAUUAAACAUGACUGAAAUAAAUUCAGGUACCUGAGACAAUGAAGAGAUCUCAAUAAGUUAUGUCAUGUAUGAAAUAAAAUGGAACCG
rnacentral:lncRNA from 1 species